CUUUGAGGGAAUUAUGCUAAGUGAAAUAAGUCAGAGGGAGAAAGUCAAAUACCAUAUGAUCUCACUCAUACAUAGAAGAGGUCCAGGAGAUCGGACGGAGCCAACAGGAGAGAUGGGCAAGCGUCCAGCAAAGUAGGAAGAAACAGAGAGAGGAUGAACUGAACCCCAAGUGAAGAGAGUACUUCAAGGAAAAAGGAGUACUCAGCAGUAUCACGUGUUAUUGGCUAUGAGACUUGGCAGCACAGAAGGCCCUCGUGACCCUGAGGAGAUGGUUUCAUUGAAGCAGUGGGGACAAAAGCCUGAGAGCAGUGAGUUGUGAGAGAAUGGAGGUGAGGAAGUGAAGACAGCAAAUAACUGUUUCUGUUUUGAAGAAGUUUUGCAGUAAAGAAUGGCUGUAACAGAGGAGAACUCGGCUGGAGAGAAGGUUGCUAACAGGAGACACAGCACGCGUUUUUGCGCCGAUGGGAAUGAUCUCUCAAGCAGGUGAAAAGUGAUGGUGUGAAAGCAGGGGGCACAAGUUCUCGAGCAGGAGGGACGGGACGGGCUCCAGUGACUCUGUGCACCGCGGAGGGUCGUGCCCUCAGGCACAGAGACUGCUGGAGUGAUACAGCAAAGGGAAGAUGGUGUGGACACGGAGGCAGGCGGAUUUGGGGGGAGGAAGAUAAGGUAGAUCUCUCCCGAUUGCCUCUAUUUUCUCAGUCAACUAAGAAGCAGUGUCAUCAGCUGAGAGGGGAGGCCAGCAGAGAGGGUUUCAGAGGGCUGCAGGGAGAGGAGAAAAGUGAGACGGUCCCUCUUGGAGGGAGGAAAAGAUAGCUUACCAUAAACGUGUGCGAUGACUGUCUGACCGCGGUGACAACGAAUCUGACCUGAGACCCGCCAGCAGAGCAGAAUGUCUCCACCUGCUCCGCCCUCCACAGUGAGCGGCUCAGGCACAGUCCUGAAUCCAUGAAGCGCAGCAAAGGAAGGUCGGCAUCUGCCCAUGAAGGAGAGAGCCAGGGUGGCCCGGAGCAGGGUCAGGGCCCAAAUGGAGCAAGGGAGUCAGCACGCAGGAUGGCUGCCCCGCACAGGGGUCCGAGCCGGAGUUGGGUGAGAAGGGUGCACAAGAAGGGGCUGCCACUGGCCAAAUCAGGGAUAAUUGGGGUAUCAAAAUAAAAAUAAUAGUUGUAACCUAUUGAAUAAAAUAGGAAACCAUGAGUCCAGACAGAUUUAAAUAAACGAACGCAUUGAAAGUGUGUGAAGAAAUAUAGUUUCAAAGUACCAAACGGAAUAAGAGAAACUUUGACUGGAAAGCCUGGCAGAUGCCACUUAGUCAGGUGAUCAAAGUGAACUUCAUCAGUAAUGGGACUAAACUGUACAUCACCUGAGAGGAUGCAAGAGAACAUAUCGAUACCUACCGACAGCACGUAAGCGGAAUGUAAUCAGGAAAAAACACCAGACAACACCAAAUUAAGAGACAUUUUACAAUAUAAUUGGUCUGUGAUUCUUAAAAUCGUCAAGAUUGUGAAAGUCACAGAAAGACUUCCAGACCGAAGGCGACAAACAUGACAGCUAAACACAACAUGUUAUUCUGAACCGGAUCCUUUUGCUAUAAAGCACACAAUUAGGAGAGUAUUGGUGAAACAUACAUGGGGCCUGAGAAUGAGAAGUCAGCAAUUAUGUAGUGUUAUUUUGCUGGUUAUUUGGGUUACGUAGGAGAAUGUGCUUGUAGGGAAAUGCACACCAGGCUAUUUCGGGAUGACACAGCAGGUCAGCAACUUACUCCCAAAUCGGUCAGGAAAACAAAAAGUUUUCUGUCCUGAGCUGUACUUGCAACUUUUCUGAAACUUUAU
rnacentral:lncRNA from 1 species